rnacentral:lncRNA from 1 species
AUGACCUUCCUGUGCCCAUCUGGGCCCUCUCGCAGUUUCCUCACUUGGAUACUUCUCUAGAGGCAGGGCUAAAACUUCCCUUUGUCCAUCCCCAGUGUGUGACCUAUCCCACCUCCCCUGCUGGUGUGGUCACCAGGCACGCUGGGCUCAUAGAUAGGUUUUAUUCCCUUCCAGCCUGCUGGAAACAAUUUUAAAAAAGGAUCUAAAAAUAAAUAUGUUUUUUCUCACAGCUUCAUGUAAUGUGCCAAUUUGAUCAGCCUGCUUUAUUAAUUGAAAUAAAGUUAUUAAUUGAAAAUGUCGAGUAUUACUGUGAAGAGAAAAGAGCUCUGAGACUUCAUGUUAGGUAUCUUUCCCUGCUAGCAGCUCAUUAGAUUUUCAACCUUUGCAUCCAAUUAAUCAACUUUUCACAAUUUUACCUAAUUAUGCCAUAAGUCACCCCUCGUUCUCAUCCACAAAAAAUGCUAUUAAAAGCUAUUCUCAAUAUCUUGCAGAAAAACAAGUUCUGCAUGUAUAGAAAAUUCUCUGGUAAACUUAAUAAGCAAGGAAGGCAGGAAAGAAGAUUAAAAACAAAGAAACAAAAGGAGGAUGGAGCGGGAAAAGGGAGGGAGGAGGGAAAUGUGGAGGGAGGAAAUGAAUAAGAACCAAAAACAAAAGAAAAAUGAAUCAGAAGAAAGAAAGAAAGUCCCAUUAUUGAGCUUCACUCAGUUCACCAUAAGCAGCGGUGCUCACUGCAAUUCUUUCCAAGUGUUCACAGAUCAAGGGUUUAUUAGUCCAUUGUACAAUGUGAUUUUCAUGAUUUAAAAAAAUUCAUAGAGUUCUUCAUCCCAACCAAAGUCUUAUCUGAAAAAAGCAAAGUAUUGAUGUUUGGGUUUAGGGUCUCAGGGCUGGACCUCUCUUCCUCACCUCCAGCCCUUCCUCUUGGGCUCCUAUCCUUGUGAUUUCAGCUAGGAGCCCAGGAACAGGAAGAACCAUUGGCAUCGACAACCAACAUUUGUAAAACUGCAGUUCCGUAGAUUUCUUUCUGGAACUGCUUCAGGCUCACCAAUCUGCAGUACAGAUAAUCUAUUCUGUCUUCUAUUUAUUGGAAACCAGGAUGUUAUUUUCUGCCUCCAAUUUUCUAGCGACCUUCCAUUUCCCACAAGGCCUCAAAACGUUAUUAGCAGCAGACUAGGGCAUCCUUCCCCAAGUUCCCUUGGAACCGAGGAUACAAUUUGUCUGGAUCAUGUGGAACACCAGGUCCACUCUAUAAAUUAUCUCACCUCUCUUGCAGCUCAAUUCCCAGCUGACACUAUGUGCUCUACCCUCUCGGCGGAAGGAUCAUUUCCUCUGACAAAGUAGCUAAAACUUUGUGAGGUGAAGGAGUUCUGUUUUUCCCCUGUCGUCUGUUAACAUUAUACCAUCUGUCCCAAGCAGCAGGCUUACUUUUGUCUUCUCCUUGCUUUUAACACGCCUGAAAAAGCCCUUUGGUACUGUUGACAUUUUUCUGAAGCCGCAUUUUGUUCAGGGUUAGCGGUUUCCUGAUGUAAUUUGUAUACGUUUACAACACUUUUAAUAUGAGUUCUUGGACAUGUAAACCAAUUUCCAUGUUUUGUGCAUGACGAAUUCCACUUUAAAUCAACAGAACCUAAGCGUUAGUUGAUGUUCUAUAUUAUAGACUUGAGCUCUUCAAAAUGCUCUUUCUGGAAAAAGCAAUGCCACAAUACUUUUUACUCUUUCUCAACUUUUACUCAUUCCUGUUGGAAUCCCUCAUUUGGGGGAAUUUUUAGUUUGUGAGCUCUCAAUCCCUGCCAAACUACUUUCCCUUUUAAAGUCCCAGGAUGAGGUCCCAUAAGUAUCUUUACUUUUACCUCGUAUAAUCUACAUUCCUGCACUUUCCACUGCUUAUGUGACAUUAUCUGCUUGGCAUCUCCUGUUCUAGUUACAAUCGUGUAUUCAGCCACCAUUAUUUGAUGGUCAUCACUAAGUACAGAGUACCCGUUCCAAUUAUUACUUGUCCUGUGUUGUGAAAAAUGAAAAUAUAAUUCAAGAUCUCUGGUAUGGGUUGAAUUGUGUCCUCACAAAAAUUCAAAACUUGAAAUCCUAAACUCCAGUACCUCAGAUUGGGACCUAACUGGGAAAUAAUGUCAUUGCAGAUGUAAUUAAUUGUCUUAACGAGAGUAGGGUAAGUCCCUCAUUCAAUAGGACUGGUGUCCUUAUUUUAAAAAGGGAAAAUUUGGACCCCGACACACACCAGGAGAACCCAGUGUGAACAUGAAGGCCGAGAUCAGAGUGAUUCAUCUACAAAGCAAAAAUGCCAAAGAUUUCCAACAAAUCUAGGAGGCAGGCAUGAAACAGAUUUUCCUUCACCACACUCAAAAGGAAACAACCCCGCCUCCAGCACUGGGGGACACUAAGUGCCUCUUGUUUAAGCCACCCAGUUUGCAGUGUUUUGUUAUCUCACCCUAGGAAACUAAUACAACCAGUUAUAAAGUCAUCAAAUUGUAUGCUUUUAAAAGAAUUUGUCUUCCAGAUGAAUCCUCAUAAUAAGAAACUCCCAUUACUCUAGGAACUUGUAUAUUUCCUUUAUCAGUUUUUUUCUUUCAAUUUUUCCUAAAUUUUAUCAUCCAUUUUCUCCAUCUGGCUGGCAAGUCUUACCUCUAUGUAAAUUUUACCUUUGUUUUGUUUAUUUCUUGGUCAUCCUAAAGAGAGGACACUCAAAGUUUUCUUUACUAAGUUGCUUGGCACUUUCUCAUGGUUGCCCAUAGAGAAUAAUAUUCACAUCUAUGAGCUCAGGAGUUGGAUUGCGGAUUUUAUAUCUUUACUAACAAAUGACCUUAACCAAGUCUUUUUAAAUUUCUUCAGGUCCCAUUUUCCACAUCUACAUCUGAUGAUUUAACUAAAAAGUGCGAAAAAAAACUUAGCCAGUAAGUUAGUGGAGAUGAUUAAACAAGCUAAUGGGUGGAAGAAGUUUAGAAUUAUAAUAUAUAUUAAAUACUCAAUAAAAUUUAGUUAUAAUAAUCUAUGGACUCUAGUUCUUUUUUUGUUUUUAAUUUAACCAAAGAUUUUUUUUUUUCCUCUCUCCCUUCCCCCUCUCUACUUUUAGAUUAAAAACCUACUGAUUAUAUUGGCAAUAUCUGGGUCACCGUUCUUUUUUCCCUACCAAGUAAUUCAAUCCAAAUCAAAGACAUAUUUUCAUAGAUUAAAACAUGUCAAGGAAAAUAAAUCCUGUUUUUCUACACAGCUACCAUUUUUUCACUCCCAAUUUUCUUUCUUCUCUAAACUUAUAAUCUUCCAUUGUAAGAAGAGGUCAAGUCAAAUAUAUCUUCGAGCCCUUUUGUUUUCUACCUGAAUGUGUAUAGUUCCUUAGAGAUUCCUUGCCAAUUGAUCUGGCAGUGGCAUUUGCUACAAUAUAGGCCAACGGGAAGAAGGUCAUUUCAAAAUUUCAUCAGACCCUCUGCCAUGGAAACGGUAAUUCAUGUGGGAAGGCAAUCCACUUCCCUCCUCAUAAUAGCCUGUCCACAAAAACUGGCCCUUACACUUCCGUCACCAGCCGUUAACAGCCUUGGGGGUAUUUUUCUUGGGGGCCACCAACAGAUUUCCUCGAAUCUGUUAUUGACUAAAAAUCCUCUUUAUUGUUGUGAGAAACAGAGGCUGCAUUUCCUCUUUAGAUUUAUCAAUUCUGCUCAUGUGAAACGGAAUUAACCUGUCAUACAGCACUGUUGGUUCAAAGCUUCCCUUCUUUGUUAUCAGUUUUUUUAGUCACGAGCCAAGUUUUGCUGAUUUGGAUUGCCUUCCACUUCCUCCCACUAUCCCCCAUCCCUCCCCCUUCUUAAAAUACGGGUUAUGUCUUAUGUGCAAUAGAGGAAUAUUUCAACCCCAGUAAUCUUCAUCAAACACAAGUUCUUUCCAUUCUUUCACCUUCUCUUUUGCUUUAAAAUUCAGUAGUUCAGGAGUUCCCAUCGUGGCUCAUUGGCUAACGAAUCCGACUAGGAACCAUGAGGUUGCCGGUUCGAUCCCUGGCCUUGCUCAGAGGGUUAAGGAUCCAGCGUUGCCGUGAGCUGUGGUGUAGGUUGAAGACGUGGCUCGGAUCCUGUGUUGCUGUGGCUCUGGCAUAGGCCGGCAGCUACACCUCCAAUUAGACCCCUAGCCUGAGAACCUCCAUAUGCUGCAAGUGCAGCCCUAGAAAAGACUAAAUAAAUAAAUAAAUAAAAAUAAAAUUCAGAAGUUCAUAAUAAUUGGCCAGGUGAUUAGCACUAGUCCUCUAGCUGUUUUUCCAUCACAAGAUCCAAACACAGAUGUAAUCAGCCAUAUCACAGACAGCACUGCUAAAAACUUUUGAACAAAUUUCUGCUUUAUUAAACUUUUUUUAAAAAUCAUGCUUCUCUUCCCUCUUUGGCAGACCUUUAA